GCCAUGCCGCCCCCGGGCCCGCCGGGCAGCUGAGGAGCCCUUCUCCUUGACGGCUGAACAGGGACUGCUUUUGUUCCAUCAGAAAACAGCGGGCUCCUCAGCGGAAAGCAGCGCCUGCUUCUCUUCUCCUGGUGCAGCCCUGGCGCUGCGCCGCCGCUCCCUGACCAGAGCGUUGCGUUUUGCGAAAGUCAGAAAGGUUUCGCCGGGUAUUGUCUGUACCCAAACUGCUAAAUGAUCUUUAAGUCACGGCUUCAUUUUUGGCAUCCUUGUUUAUAUCUGCAUUGCUUCAAUAUUUUCUUCUUAGAAAUGUGGAUGGACAAAGAGUGAGACUGCACUCAGGGCCAGUUCUUCUCAUUACUGUGGCAAACAGUCCUCAUGAGUCAGGUUUGCUGGCAUGGACACAUUCUGAGACUGCCCUGCCUCAGGCUUUGGCUGAUUUUUAAAUGUGCCUUAAGCAAUAAAGUAUUUUGUUUAUGAAAUGUGCUUACAAGCAUCACUAACCAAAUCUCUAGUUCUCUGCUGAUGGAACAUUCUGUAUUAUCAUCGCUGCUAUUUUUUUCAGUGGAUGCAGAAAUACAAACAUGAAUUACACAUUCUAGGCAAGAAUAUGGACAGGGGCUGUGGGUCAGAUUUUGUAUGAGUUCAUGGAAGUUAUUUGUCUCCCUGAGCACAAACAAGGUCAGGAGUAUGAACAAAGAACUAUUUUGUGCUACCCAAAUAGCUAACCCAAAUGAUGUUUGAGAGUGACCUUUCAGUUUAUCUGAUAUAUCUUUCUGUCAAGGUUAAGGGAAUUUGAUUUUAUGGCAGAGGACACUAGAUGUGUUUAUUUGUUCUACCAGUGGCUACAGCACAGAACUGGCUUUUGGCCAGAUGAAGACUGAUGUAAUUUCAAACACUGUUUUGAUUAGAUUUCCAUUGAAAUCACCAGACUGGUGUUUUUGGGGUUUGUUUUGUUUUAUUUUCCUUUUAAUAUAACAGUACUUUAUAGUGCUUAACUUCCAGUAGAGAUAAAGCAGUAUUUGUAAAUAUAGCA